rnacentral:lncRNA from 1 species
UGUUUUCAGAUGUAAAAGGUCUGCAGUCUGCGGACCACAUCUGCAAACGUCAGCACGAAAAGAGGUGGACCAAAUAUCUGCAGAGUGUAAUAAAAAGAGUGUUUGGUUAUCCCAUCUCUUUUUGAAACCCCACAUCUGCAAAAGAGUACUUCAGCCUUCACCACCACCAUCUCCCACCUCCCCCUCCCAAAUACGACGACCAUGAGUACGACUCCUAUGUUGACUCCGACCUCUGGGACUUACCGCCAGCAAAGCUGUCCUCGGUAUCACCGGAAUUAGAUUCUUCAACUCAAUUUGUUCUGAUAGGAGGGGACACGUGUCCACAGAACCUCAAUUUAAGGAAAUUUGAUCUUCAUUCAGCUCUUAACGAGGUUAGAAGGGUUGGAAGAUGUUAGAAAAGGUGUAUAAAAGGUGUCUUGUGAGCUAGGGUUUUGAGAAUCUUCAUUCUCUCAUCUUAUCGAACACUUUACGCUCUGCUGAAGAUAGAUCUCUUUGAGUCAGUUCAUUUAUCUUGUGCGAACACUUUUGUUCUCUGUUUUAGAGAUCAUUCGUCCCUAUUGAGGUCUGAUUGAAGAUUAUAAGUUCCAGUUGAUGUUUGUUCAGCCUGCUGGUGUUAUGCUGAAAGUCUAUUGAAGAUUUGAUUCUUCAUCUGGUUCGUUUUGUAUUACAGAUCGUACAGAUCUUCGUAUUUCAGGUUGUGUUAUUUUAUUCUUGUUGUAUCGUUUCGAUUAAUCAACUGAUUGUUAUCAGUUGAUUAUGUACUCAGUAUUGAAUAAUUUCUGAUCUUACAGUUUAGUAAGGUCUUGGGUGGUUUGGGCGUUUUCUGGUUUGGUAAAGAUAAUAAAGUUUUCGUCACAGUUUUGUCGCU